GGAGGGACCAGGUGGACAUGCCAAAGGUCAAAGCACGAUCAUGGGGCAAAACCACCCAGGUCACCUGCUUAGAUCCCAAAGUUCAGGCCUGCCUGAGUCAGAGGGCAGAGCAGGCCUAGGACUGCAGGUUCCAAGAGUAAGGAUGAUGCUUGAGCCACUGGAGCUGGGCAGCAGAGACUGGGUACAACAGGGAGGAAGAGGAAGUAAAGGCCACCCGGGGGCUGCAGAAAGGGUGCCACUCAACUGAGAGCUGGAGGAUCCUUAGGAAUUGAGUUUGGAGAGAGCUGGGAAGCAGGGACUCAGAGAAGGUUGGGGCUUUCCCAAAGUCACACAGCAGGUUGGGAUCAGGAAAGUGCAUUUGUGUGCUGACAGCCAGGGGUCAUGGCCCAGUCUCAGCUCACAGGCUGUACUUCCCCACUUUUGCUCCUCACCAACUCUUCCCUCCCCUCUAAGACACCCACUUCCCCGUCUCUGCCCUGUAAUUAGGAGUUGGGUGGAGGGCAGUGUUCUCAGCAUUCGGGGUCUAGUCUCAGGACUGUCAAGUUGUAUGCUCAGCUAGCCAGGUGUUCUCUCCAAUCUCUCAGCAUGAGUGGGGCCCACUCAGGCCAGAAGAAGGCUGGUGAGACCCAACGGGGUCACAAGAUUCUGCAGUCCCAGCCCCAUUGAGGCUUGUCUUAGUCCAGAGACACUUCACAAAGUGUCUUCACUUAAUCAGCAUCUUGUCCAUUCCUUUUCAGCAUCACUUAGAUGUUACCUUUGUAACUUUCUGAACCUCAGUUUCCUUAUCUGCAAAAUGGGAACCAUGAAACCUGCCUCACAGACUGAAGAGAAUGUUGAACAAAAUCAGUGUGGGAAAUUGCUGUAAACCCUAAAAUGUUUGUAGAGUGUCAGCUGACUAUGAGCUCCUGAAGGCAUGACCUUGCCCUCUUCUUCUCUACCCUAAGGGUAAUGUGCAGAGCCUGUGGAGAGAGAUGCCUAUCAAGCCUUUGUUGGAUGAAAGAAGGUUGAGCCCACACAGCAUGCAGGAAUCUUAGUUCCCUGACCAGGGAUGGAACCCAUACCCCCUGCAGUGGAAGCACGGAAUCCUAACCACUGUACUGCAAGGGAAUUCCCCCUUUGUUCUGUGUCCUGCACUCUGCCACGCCUGUUAUGCCAAGUGGAAGCAAGUGAAAACCACAGCCCUCACUGGUUCCCCCUUUCCCACUUGAAGCCCAGGCUGCUGCUUCCCCAUCUGUACCAAACUGGAAGACCUGUACCAUAUAGACAGGGGUUGGGUCCCCUGACUCUCAGUUUUCUCAUCUGUAAUUUAGGAGUAAAAAUACUCAAUGGUAUGUUGUGAGACUAAAUUAGAAAAUCAAUGUAUCUGGUGCACAGGUUCAUUAUAAACUAUAGGAAUGGAUAAAUAAAAACAAACCCUCGAGUCUGCUCUAACUUCAAAACCAAAGCAAACCAAACUCUGAUCAGAAAACGCAGAUGCUGUACAGCUCGUAGUAUACCCCUUGGGACUCCCAUUGUGGGCCCCAUUUCUGUCCUUGACGUCCCACAGGCUGGACGCACUUGUGGAGGCAGGCUGCCCAGAGGAGGUGGGCCUACAGCAGCCCCAGAAAGAGGCAGGAGGCGGAAUUAGGAGUUAGGAUGAGGCCCUAUGGGUCUUUCUCUGACUCAGGAUGGUCUAGAGCAGCAGCCCAGGACCUGCACUGUGUGAGGGACCCAAGCGGUUGCUGCCGGAGAGGCCUUAAGUCUUCAGCUUUCAGCAGAGGCUCCACACAGGGCUGCUGCCAGCCCACACAGCCUGGGGAAAGGCACCACACUAGGCAGACAGAGCCCUGCGCCAGAGCUUCUGACAGGGGGAACAGAGCAUGUGCUGGACUUCAGGGGCUGGACAUCCUUACACACUGCCCAGCCUGCAGCUGGCAGGGACCAGUGACCUCCCCAGUAACUCAGAGGCUGACAGAGCAACUUCUCUUUCUCCACGCAGCAGCUCACCCUGUGCCCAUCGCCUCCAGGCCCACUCCUCCCCAAGCUGGAUCCCGAUACCCACUCCAGCCCCUUAGCUCUUCAGCACUGUCGGGCACAAAGUAGUAUCAGUGUUGGAUUUCCACCAAAGGUCAGGAGGGUGGAGAGGAACAUCACAGCUAAGCACUGCAGGCAACCAAACGGUGGCCAUCUUGUUUUAAAACCCAUCAGCCAUUUCCUAUCCUGCCACACCUGACUCAGGCCACAGCUUGCAGACAUCUGCUGCUGCUGCUGCUAAGUUGCUUCAGUCGUGUCUGACUCUGUGCGACCCCAUA